rfam:Clostridium tetani E88, complete genome.
AUUAUGACAAUGAUAAAAAGGAGUAAAUAUUUAAUUAUUAUAAAGAGAGGAAGUGGAAGGUGAAAACUUCUUAAUAAUUGUAUUGAAGCUAUUUUUGAGUCUUUAGAACUUUAAGAGAUACAAUUUUAUAUUGUAUAAAUAGGGUGGUACCGCGGAAGCUUUCGUCCCUUAU